rnacentral:rRNA from 1 species
GGAAUUGACGGGGGCCCGCACAAGCGGUGGAGCAUGUGGUUUAAUUCGACGCAACGCGAAGAACCUUACCAGGGCUUGACAUCCCCUGACCGCGUAUGAAAGUACGUUUUCACCCUCGGGUGACAGGGAGACAGGUGGUGCAUGGUUGUCGUCAGCUCGCGUCGUGAGAUGUUGGGUUAAGUCCCGCAACGAGCGCAACCCCUACGUUUAGUUGCUAACGCGUGAAGGCGAGCACUCUAGACGAACUGCCGUUGACAAAACGGAGGAAGGUGGGGAUGACGCCAAAUCAUCAUGCCCCUUAUGUUCUGGGCUACACACGUGCUACAAUGGCCGGUACAGACGGACGCAAAGCCGCGACGGUGGAGCAAACCCAAAAAGCAGUCUCAGUUCGGAUUGAAGUCUGCAACUCGACUUCAUGAAGUCGGAAUCGCUAGUAAUCGCGGAUCAGAACGCCGCGAUGAAUACGUUCUCGGGGUUU